rnacentral:rRNA from 1 species
UUUUUGGAGAGUUUGAUCCCGGCUCAGGAUAAACGCUGGCGGUGUGCUUUAUGCAUGCAAGUCGAACGGACAUUAGCAAUAAUGUUAGUG